ACCAAACAGAUGCUCAGGGUCUUCAAUCUCGUAGAACUUGAAGAGCUUGAUCUCAAGACCAGUGGUUCACCGAAUCUUGAUCGUCGAUUCCUCGAAGCUCGAAAACGGAUCGCAUUCUAUUUGUGACAUACAGCGAAUACGAACAGGCAUAAGCAAACAAACAUAUACAAGUAUAAGAACAUCACACCAUACAAAGGAAAACAAUAUAAGAAUGUGCAAUACAAAAUAAAGCUCGCUUCUAUGGUCACGCGAGGAAAGAAACGCGAUCGUCGAAGCUUAGAAGUUAUAACAUUUACGCUACGCAAGUAAUAGUCAGGACAUUUAAUUCGACAUUAUAAAAUAUAAAUUAUAACUGCUAUGUAGUUUUGACUCAAUCUGCUACACUAACAGCUGUCAAAUAAAUAACUAAUAUAAUUAGCACGAGAGAUUCUAAGCGAGGCGAGUUUAUGAUGCGUGAAACAGCAUGACAGCGUGCGAACGACACGUGGACACGCGCGACGUAGCACGCUUACGACGCACGAAAAUAGUCCGCGCGACCAGCGCGAACGACGUGCGAACCAGCACGCUACCAUGUGCGGAACAGCAUGAGCCACAUGCGAGAAAUACUAAAUAGGUGAUGUGUUUAUACUAAAUAAAUAUUAAAUAUUACAUACAAAAAAGUAGUUACGUUAAUAUUAUUCAUGUCAAUGUUUAAUAUAAAAGUGCAAAUUGAACACUACUCCUUUAAUCUAAUUGGGAUAUUAACUAACAAAUAUUAGUCGAGCAAACCUUAAGUUAAUUAUCUAAAAUAUGUGACCUAACGAAUUAAUGUUAUUAACACGAGUGUUUAUAAGCGAAAACAAUUUAUUAUCACGUGCAGAUGCCGCGCGACCCACGUGAAAGCGAUCCAUGAUGACGCGCGAAGAGCACGACGACGGUGAGCGCCACACGUGUAAACACAACAUGGAUAGCGCGACGACGCGCGCGACACGCUAGUGACGCGUGAAACAACACGCGAAACCACGCGCGCGACAGCACGCUAACGACGCAUGGGCAGCUCGACGACGACGAGUGCAACAUGAGUGAAUAGCGAGCGGCACGCAGAGAGUGUGUGUGACAGCAAAAACUAAGCGUGAGUCAGCAUGCGACAACACAUGACACGCGCGAACGUCACGACGUACAAGAACGAUUAAACGCACGUCGCGAUUACACUAGUCAAGUAUCGGAUCAAAAUAUUUGAGUUUGUAUUAAUCAUGUUAACAUAUAUUUAUAAAAGUGCAACUUAAAACUAUAAAUUAGUUUUAGCUACAUUGCUAUUUUAAUAACCAACAAAUACAUAAUUAAUUGACUAACUAAAAUAUGUGUGAUGAUAAACAUUAUUAUUAUUAACGCGUAGACAAAGUUAAUACGAAUGUAAUGCAACUCGAAUGAAUAUAAAUCGGACAUCUAACGCAAAAAUAUCACUUAUUUAAUGUUUCCCGGAUUUAAGUGACAUGGCACAAACCUAUUGGCUAAAAAACCCGACCACACGAAGGGCCAUAAGGUGUGCAUCUGCAAAAGAUCCAUGAGAUGUGUGGGGAGUAGGGAUAGUUUCAAAUUGACUGGUCGCAUAGAGGAAAAGCAUUAAUGCACUAUGUGUGGCCUGUGAUUUGCAUGCCUGCAUGCGGUGGGGACCAAGUGGGUUUCCUCAAACGCACAACAAGGGAAAAAGGGGAAAUUGCCAUGCAUGUGGGUCCCAUUGGUGGCAGUUUCUCCACUGUGCACGAUAGUUCUUUUUCCUUUCCCUCACGCAUGGAGAUUUCUUUGACCGCGACGGAAGGGACAAAACUGGCUGGGUGCCGCCACGGUUGCUGGCCGCAGGACAGGGGAGGACACCACGCGGGGUGGGGGCGGUGGCUGGCUCGAGGUCGGGCGUGCCACGCAUGGGCAUGAAGGGGAGACUCGGCGCGCAGGCUAGAGAGUCGGCCAUGGCCAAGGGGAGAGAGGGUGCAGCACACUGAGGAAGAAGAGGGAGGAGAGAGGUAAACAGCGAGAGGGGCUAGACAGAGCUCACCUCGGCACGGACGACGACGAGGUGGAACUGGGUGGGCGCCGGGCGUGGGAGUCCAACAGCAAACGGCGGCGCGCGUGUUGUUGUCUCCUCCAUGCAGCGACGACGGCACGGCAACCUCCAUGCAGCGACGACGGCAUGGCAACGAGCAUUAUAUGGCUGUUGUGCAGGGAGUGGAGGGGUAAGAGAAUGGAUGGCCGGGCUGCAGUUUAUACGAGCUUCUCGCGAGAUCGUGGGGAAGGUUGUUGUCGUAGAUGCCACGGCGAGAGAAGCAGUUGCCGAGGGGAGAAGAUAGAGAGAGUUUGUGGCUGACUGACGGGCGUGGAG
rnacentral:lncRNA from 1 species